rnacentral:pre_miRNA from 1 species
UUGCGUAGGCGUUGUGCACACUGUCUGACACAACCGUGUGUACCUCUCCUGCGGCACA